CCCAGGUGUCCCCAGGUGUAUCUCAGGUAUCUCAGGUGUCCCCAGGUGUACCCCAGACUCACCUGGCAGGUAUCAGCCCCUCCUUUCGGGUCCCCGGCACACACCAUGUCCCCAGGUGUCCCCAGGUGUGUUCAGGUGUCUCUCAGGUGUACCCAGGUGUAUCACAGGUAUCUCAGGUGUCCCCAGGUGUACCCCAGACUCACCUGGCAGGUGUCGGCCCCGCCCCUCGGGUCCCCAGCACACACCAUGUCGUCCCGGAUCCUCCGCGGGGGCAGCGCCGGGCCCAGGUCGGUUCCGUAGAGGCGGCGACACAGAGAGAGCGGCAACAGCGGCACCUGCAGCUCCCGGAGCCGCCGGGGGCGCUCUGAGUGACCAGAGAGUGACCACUGAGUGACCAACUGACCACUGACCCACCCUGAGUGACCCCUGAGUGACCACUGAGUGACCACUGACCACACUGACCACACAGAGCCAGCGGCAACAGCGGCACCUGCAGCUCCCGGAGCCGCCGGGGGCGCUCUGAGUGACCAGAGUGACCACUGAGUGACCACUGACCCACCCUGAGUGACCACUGAGUGACCCCUGAGUGACCACUGACCCACCCUGAGUGACCACUGAGUGACCACUGACCACACAAAGAGAGCGGCAACAGCGGCACCUGCAGCUCCCGGAGCCGCCGGGGGCGCUCUGAGUGACCAGAGAGUGACCAACUGACCACUGAGUGACCACUGAGUGACCACUGAGUGACCACUGACCCACCCUGAGUGACCACUGACUGCACUGACCACACUGACCACUGACCAUUGAGUGACCCUGAGUGACCAACUGACCACUGAGUGACCAUUGACUGACCACUGAGU
rnacentral:lncRNA from 1 species